rnacentral:lncRNA from 1 species
GGAAAUAAUAAAGUUAUAAACUUUUUUCAACAUACAACCUUCCAAACAUGCCACUAACAUAUAAAUCACAAGUUUGUAUCCGCAAAAUGUCGGACAACCAGUCCGUACCAUGAACAAAAAUAUGAGAAUUGCAGUGUACACAUACUACACACCCUUCUUACCUCUCUUGCGAUCGAAUCGUGUGAAUGGUGUCUUAGUGUUUAUGUAGGGGAUUAGCAAUCUUCGACGGUUCAGCACGGAUGACAUCAUCAAUUGGCGAAGCAUCGAUGGAGACAGCAACUGUAGGUAUAGUGUUUGUGGUCUCUAUUACACUGUCUAGAGCAACAUCAACUAACCUCUCGAAUCCAACCCCAGCCAUCGACAUUCUGUACACAUCACUGGUCUGGCAGCCAACUGCUUCGGUUGCACCUUUUGGAUGCCAUGUGUCCACUUUCGUAUGUGGCGUCAAAUUGUGAUCGUAACCAUCAUGGUGGGCACAUCUCUACCGCAAUAGUCCUAAAAUCUAUCGUACUUACCGGUGGCAUUGUG